rnacentral:rRNA from 1 species
GACGAAGGUGGCGACCGUUGUUCGGAAUCACUGGGCAUAAAGAGCACGUAGGCGGCAAGGUAUGUCGGGUGUGAAAUCCCUCGGCCCAACCGAGGAAUUGCGCCCGAAACUACCCUGCUUGAGGAUGGAAGGGGAGCGUGGAAUUCCUGGUGGAGCGGUGAAAUGCGUUGAUAUCAGGAGGAACACCGGCGGCGAAGGCGACGCUCUGGUCCAUUACUGACGCUGAGGUGCGAAAGCCAGGGGAGCAAACGGG